CAGAGCCAGAACCCACGAACCAAGCAAACUCACGACCAGAGCACGGGCCUCGCCGCGCCCAUCCCGCCGGGAUCCCCGCCGAUUCCGUCGGCGCGACCGCCGAUCUGAAGCUGCCGACGCCGGCAGCUCGAAUCCGGCCGCCAGGCGUCGCCUGCAGAGGGUCCCGCCUCAAACGCGCCGCCGUCGGCUAGGGUUCGGCCGCGCCGCCGCCUCCGUCUCCACGCCUCAGCAACAGCUGCCCGCGUUUCGCUUCUUUUAUCUCGCUCGCUUAGUUUCUCUCUCCGAGAACUUCUCUCGCUCUCUGUUUUCUCCUCACCCGUUUCGGGGUUUUUC
rnacentral:misc_RNA from 1 species